AGGAGGGAGACUGAUGUAGUAUCUCCUUUGCCAGUUUUUCAGGUCUUGCUAUGCUGCAGUGAAUUAAACCUGGUACUUUGGUUUGAGGGGCUGUUUUGUGAUGAUGAUAGAGUACAAAGCAACUAGUAUGCAUGUGAGGAUUGGGGCCUAUAUCUCUAAUGGAUCAGUGACUCCUCUACUUCACCUCAGGAGAUGUUCGUGUUCAAUUAGGGGUUCCAGCAUUUGGCUGUAGCUGAUUGUGGAGCAGUGACCUGGAACCUUGAUCUUGGAGUCACAUAGUCACAGUUGGCCCUCAUUACAUUUGGUCCUCAGUCCAUCUGGGUCUUGGCUACGUAUGGUGAAGAUGGAACACAAUGAAUAUACUGGACUACUGUGUUCUCUGCACAGAAGUUUUGAAUGACAGCAACAACCAUGAAUAUUCAGUGCCAUGCCCUUGCAUGCUGACUUGCUGUGGUUUUUAUUGCCUUAUACACAGCCUGAUGCUGAGGGGGUAGAGGCACACAACUCCCCCACCCAAACCCUGCACCAGUGAGCAACACAAUUCCAAUCUGAACCACUUCCUAGCCACUACCAGGUGGCUCUGUGCACAGGAUGAUGGCUCGACUUAAGGCAGCCUUGCUCGCAAUGCUUCCCUUUUGCAGUAGGAACCAGCUCAGUAACAUAAAGAUGCACGUACAGACUACAGUGAGUAGCAGCAAGUCAACUAGGCAUCCCUGGGAACCAAACAGAAGAGAAUCCCUUCUGACUUAGACUGUGCCAUACUACCAUUGGUGGAGACCUAUGGCAUGGCCCUAGAAAAGGAAAUAAGCUACCCAUGAUAGCUUUUGAAAACCUCAUUGUUUUUGCUGUAAGGUCAUAGUGCAACCAUCAAACACGUUUAGCUCACAAAUCGUAUCUCUGGGGUACUUCUAUAUGCCCAUGUGCUUACAGGGUGAGGCAAUAGUUUUUGGAUUAAUUGUUCAUUAUUUGAAGGAUGGGCAUGAAAAUUACUCACAUGGGAACUCUGACAAGGAUCUACCUACUCCAGAAUGGUGUAAACCCAUGCAACCUAUACUAUCUCAGAGACUGAUGUAACCACCUGAAGGACUCUUGUUAUAGCAUGAAAUAUGAACUCAAACUUUGCACACCCCCUGUGUUGUGAAUGUGUCUUCUAAACUUAGCUGUUCUUUUCAAUCCCGGUAAUGGAUGGCAUCAGUUCUAGCUGUUGCCAAGUAAGUACAUGUUAGUAUCUUGCUCUACUUACAACUUUAUUUUGUGUUUUCCUUUGUUAUGCUCUAUUUGAUUCCCUUUUGUCACCCAUCCCACUGUUCUUCCUCCUGACCUUUAUAACUUAAAGAGUGCAUUGGUCUUGCGGGUACUAUGUGGUCCCAACAGGUGAGAGUGCAUCCCUGUCGGUGCCUCAUCUUGCCCUUUCCACAUACCCCAGCUCCCUGGCGGUCUUCCCUAUGUUGUACUUUCUGCAAGGUAAUCCCACUAUCUGGAUUAGACAUCUGGGGCCCCCUGUCCCUAUGCCCCAUUGGGUUUCAACAAGCACCAAUGCCCUGAAACUCUUUCCUAUCUAUGUUUAAAACCCAUCUUAAGAGGCUAUUGCAUAUAUUGAACUGUUAUGGUGCUAAACCUUAAUUUAACCUCUUAGAACAACACCUCUCCCCCCCCCCCCCCGUUUAAUGUAAGAAAGUUUAUGCCUUUUUGAAAAAGGUGAGGUUAGGAUAGCAUUUUUACAAGAGACUCAGUUAACUGUAGAAGAGUCUCAUAAAUUGGAAUGGGAUUGGGUUAAUAGAGCUCUGUCCUGCUGCUACAUCUCAAAUUUUAGAGGAGUAUCUGUGCUGAUCCACAGAAAACUGUUAGUGAAUGUUAUUGAUGUUAGUUCCGAUAAUAAAGGUGGGCUUCUCAUACUCAAUCACAGUAAAUGUGCCUGAAAGGGUCCUAAUACACACCCAAUAUAGACGAGCCUGAGAUUUUUCAUAAUGGUGCAUACUUUCCCAUCAUAAUUGUAGGUGAGUUUGAGAUUCUAGAGCCAAUAGUAUAUAGAUUCUCCUCUACUAACUGUAAGCCAACCAGGUCCAAAAUAUAAAUACCCCAACACUCUCUGUGACCAGCUAGGAGAGAUUGAACCUCCAUA